rnacentral:rRNA from 1 species
CGGAACUGUUUUGAAAGAUUUCUUCGGAAUGAAUUUGAUUUAGUUUAGUGGCGGACGGGUGAGUAACGCGUGAGUAACCUGCCUUCAAGAGGGGGAUAACAUUCUGAAAAGGAUGCUAAUACCGCAUGACAUAUCGGAACCACAUGGUUUUGAUAUCAAAGAUUUUAUCGCUUGAAGAUGGACUCGCGUCCGAUUAGUUAGUUGGUGAGGUAACGGCUCACCAAGACCGCGAUCGGUAGCCGGACUGAGAGGUUGAACGGCCACAUUGGGACUGAGACACGGCCCAGACUCCUACGGGAGGCAGCAGUGGGGGAUAUUGCGCAAUGGGGGCAACCCUGACGCAGCAACGCCGCGUGAAGGAUGAAGGUUUUCGGAUUGUAAACUUCUUUUAUUAAGGACGAAAAAUGACGGUACUUAAUGAAUAAGCUCCGGCUAACUACGUGCCAGCAGCCGCGGUAAUACGUAGGGAGCAAGCGUUGUCCGGAUUUACUGGGUGUAAAGGGUGCGUAGGCGGCUUUGCAAGUCAGAUGUGAAAUCUAUGGGCUCAACCCAUAAACUGCAUUUGAAACUGUAGAGCUUGAGUGAAGUAGAGGCAGGCGGAAUUCCCCGUGUAGCGGUGAAAUGCGUAGAGAUGGGGAGGAACACCAGUGGCGAAG